rnacentral:lncRNA from 1 species
CAAGAUGGCUGCUGGGAUGUAUUUGGAACAUUAUCUGGACAGUAUUGAAAACCUCCCGUUUGAAUUGCAGAGAAACUUUCAGCUCAUGAGGGACCUAGACCAAAGGACAGAGGACCUGAAGGCUGAAAUUGACAAGUUGGCCACUGAAUAUAUGAGUAGCGCCCGCAGCCUGAGCUCCGAGGAAAAACUGGCCCUUCUCAGACAGAUCCAGGAGGCCUAUGGCAAAUGCAAGGAAUUUGGUGACGACAAGGUGCAGCUGGCCAUGCAGACCUAUGAGAUGGUGGACAAACACAUUCGGCGGCUGGACACAGACCUGGCCCGUUUUGAGGCUGAUCUGAAGGAAAAACAGAUCGAGUCAAGUGACUAUGACAGCUCUUCCAGCAAAGGCAAAAGGAGUGAGGAGGGGCGGGGCUGUGAGAAGCGGGGGCGGGGCCGUGAGAUGGGGCGAAAGGUCAGAGAGAAGAGGCCUACUCCAGCCUGAGGGAGCAGCACUGCCUGGAUCAGGAACAAAGAGAACCUAACCCAUCUUUUUGUCUCUGCCUUCUGGCUUACCCUUUCUUCCUAGAAGGCCGGACCCAAAAGGAGAAAAAAGCUGCCCGUGCCCGUUCCAAAGGGAAAAACUCAGAUGAAGAAGCCCCCAAGGCUGCCCAGAAAAAGUUAAAACUUGUGCGCACGUGAGUAUACCAGAAUACACCCACCUCCCAGCCAGCCCUGCCUCUUGCCACUUUCCCUGUCUUCUGUGCCAGUAAAACUGUCACUGUGGUGUCUGCUGGAU